ACGGGACCCUUCAACAACAACAGCGAGUCGGUCACUUCAGUAGCUUGCUAGGCGACAUGGCCUAAACGUUCAAGCUUUUUAGACUGUUUCAGUGCAUAUUUGCCCAUGUGUUUUAAACAUACGUCUGUUUUAUAGAUAGUUGCCCCAUUUAUUUUCAUAUUUACGUUGUUAGUCAGGCAGAUGUCUUAAAUUUGCCUAUCGCUAGGCUAUUCGCUAAUGCUAACUAGCUAUUAUUCCCGACCAUGAGUUCACUAAGCUACUCUCCUGCUAAAGAAGAGGAUGGACGGAGAAAGAAGCUCUCGUGAAAGAGGAGGCGGAAGAGGAGGCUGUUACAAUACAAAAACAAGUAGAGGGUGAGGCUGUUACCGUGAAAGAAGAAGAGAAAGACGUUACAGAGAAAGACACCUUCAGAGUGAAAGAGGAGGUGGAUGUUACCGUGAAAGAAAAGGAGGAUGCAAUGAAAGAAGAUGAAAACGUUUUUGGAAUGAAGGAUGAAGAGGGGGAGAUUAUUGUCACAUUAGAGGAGGACGAAGAAGAGAAGACUGGAGAACUGAUUAACACCAGUAAAUACAGAGAGAGAUGUGAAUAUCGUGGAUCCUCUGGGGAGCCUCAACAACAUCAUGAUGCUGACGAGGCAGAGAAGAGUCCCUCCAGAUCAGGACACCUCAAGAAACACCAGCAGAGACCCACAGGAAAGAAACCUCACUGCUGCUCUGACUGUGGGAAACGUUGCAAAUCUUCAUCAGAAGUUAAAAAUCACCAGUGAGUACACACAGGAGAAAAAUCGUAUAAUUGUGAUCAAUGUGGGAAGAGUUUUAUUCAGUCAGACUCCCUGAAAUCACACCGGAAUCUCCACACAGGAGAGAAGUCUUAUAGCUGUGAUCAAUGUGGGAAGAUUUUUUACUAAAUCUAGCCAUCUGACUAGACACCAUCAAGUACACACAGGAGAGAAAUCUUAUAGCUGUAGUCAGUGUGGGAAGAGUUUUACUCAGCUAAACAGUCUGAAAGAACACCAGACAACACACACAGGAGAGAAAUCUCAUAGCAGUGAUCAAUGUGGGAAGAGAUACAGUUAAGGGAAUUUUUAUCAAUGAUGACUAAUUAUGUAUACAUUUCAAUCAGGACUGACUAAUCCGAAUACUAUUAUGUUACUGAAUUUUCUCUCUUGCUCCCAGUAUUGAAUAUAAUGUAGUCAAGAGUUUAGAACAAUGACGGUCUGUUCCUUGGUACAAAUGAAUGAACUAUCUCCAGACUGUCUAGAAUGCGUAUCUACACUGACUGACCUUGGCUCUAGGCGAGGAGGGAAGGCUUGAGAGCUAUAGAGCCUUUCUACCAGUGUCAAGAAGAGACGGAACAUUUAGAAAACGCUGACGUCAUUUUCAGUUUAUAACCUGUGGUAAAAUGUGUAUGUACUCAGUACUCUCUUGAAUAAAGGCUGUUACUUGACUUU